rnacentral:rRNA from 1 species
CCCGCUCAGAAACUCAAAGGAAUUGACGGGGGCCCGCACAAGCGGUGGAGCAUGUGGUUUAAUUCGAUGCAACGCGAAGAACCUUACCUGGUCUUGACAUCCACAGAAUUCCGCAGAGAUGCGGAAGUGCCUUCGGGAACUGUGAGACAGGUGCUGCAUGGCUGUCGUCAGCUCGUGUUGUGAAUUGUUGGGUUAAGUCCCGCAACGAGCGCAACCCUUAUCCUUUGUUGCCAGCGGUUAGGCCGGGAACUCAAAGGAGACUGCCAGUGAUAAACUGGAGGAAGGUGGGGAUGACGUCAAGUCAUCAUGGCCCUUACGACCAGGGCUACACACGUGCUACAAUGGCGCAUACAAAGAGAAGCGACCUCGCGAGAGCAAGCGGACCUCAUAAAGUGCGUCGUAGUCCGGAUUGGAGUCUGCAACUCGACUCCAUGAAGUCGGAAUCGCUAGUAAUCGUGGAUCAGAAUGCCACGGUGAAUACGUUCCCGGGCCUU